rnacentral:lncRNA from 1 species
UAGGUCUAACAAGGUCAAAGGACCGUAGACAAAAAAUUUCAUGAUUUUUGAAAAGUCAGAAGUAUUUUUAAACAAUUAAAAAUUGCACAAAAACAUUUAAUUCAUGAAAAAUAUCAAAAUGAAUCCAAAAAAUGAUUUUAAUUCAGAAUAUGAAAGAGAAAAUUAUUUAAAGAUUUUUUAUGAAAGUCUCAUAUUUUUUGGAUUUAAAAAUGAAAUUAAUAUGAAUUAAACAAAAUAAAAGGAUUAAA